GCCAGUGUGAAAUAAGGAAGACAAUUGCAUGAGGACCUCCAAACUCUUCCUUACCCUCCAUCUAUUUAUUGAUAACCAUAAAUUAGUUUGUAAGGUGAGCCCUCAUCCCUUAGUACAGACAGAGUCAGUGGCUUCUUUCUCUUAUUAGCUUUCAGCGAGACACGUCUACAUACAGUUCCUUCGUCACGAAUACCUGCCCCUCCAGUCCCUGGAGCCGUCUGCCUCCCACAUAGGGACGGAUAACAGAGGGGCCCUGAAGUCAACCAGCCACAGCAGGCUUUCAACAAAAACUUUAUCAGCACCACCACCGCGGCCAUAGAAAACAACAUGAAAUAAAAGUAAUAACUGAGGGAAACAGGAUGGAGGGAAAAAGGAGCAAUGCAUUUAUGUUUAUAAUCUUUUUCUCCGCAUCGAUACGCAUCCUACUAUAAAUUCAUUACGCGUGUUUUCAUGUGUCCAGCCCUGUGGUGGAUGCUACGCGGGAUGCACAAGAUGUACAGAGCCUAGCCCCUGUGCUCAUGGAGGUUUUCGUCUCAUGGGAAAGGCAUUAAUAAAGUCUUCCAUCUGUGUCACUGAAGAGGGAUCAGCAUUUCCUUGAUAUGAAGGAGGAAACUGAGCCUUAGAGGGUUGAAGGACCUGAGGAGACAGCAGGGGGAUUGGGGCUCAAGUUCCAGUGUCCUGACUCCAGGUUUCGUGUUCUUCCCACUCUGCCGUUAUUCUCAUCCAGCUUCCUCUGCAGACACUUCAUAGAGCUGUGACACGGGAAGCAGCGUGGCAGUGCCUCAUCGACUGGCCGUGACAAGGAGAAUUGACUCUCAGGAUAAGGAAAUCAAUGAGGGCUGAGGAGAACGGCAAGGAAGGAGAGUAGAAGAUGGAGCUGGAGGAAACUGUAGGACUUGGCCAGAGGCCUAUCGAGGGAGAGCCUUCCAGACUCCGCGGGUCCUUGUGUGUGUCGUCCAAAGGGCCACAGAAAAGCCACCAGACACUGUGUUUUCAAGAGCUUAUUAUGGAAGCAGUGAGAACGAGGUAAAUGUAUUCUCCCUCUAUCUCUGUAUAUGCAAAUACAAAUAUAUACAUAUGUAUACG
rnacentral:lncRNA from 1 species